rnacentral:rRNA from 1 species
UACGGGGGGGGCGAGCGUUGUUCGGAAUUACUGGGCGUAAAGGGUGCGUAGGCGGCCUGACAAGUCUGAUGUGAAAUCCCUGGGCUCAACCCAGGGCCUGCAUCGGAAACUGUCGGGCUUGAGUAUGGGAGAGGUGAGUGGAAUUUCCGGUGUAGCGGUGAAAUGCGUAGAUAUCGGAAGGAACACCUGUGGCGAAAGCGGCUCACUGGACCAUUACUGACACUGAGGCACGAAAGCUAGGGGAGCAAACAGG